rnacentral:misc_RNA from 1 species
ACAUCUCAACUCAGAAGCAUUUGUUUGCUCUCUGGGCUUGGACUUGGAGGUUUUUGCUGGCGAUGGUCAGCUCCUCUCAAAUGAAUUAGCUGGGCUUAGCUCAGAGGAAUAGUCGGUGUGAUAAUUAUCUGCGCCGUUGCUUAUGACUCUGGAUCCCGCUUCCAAUGGUCUCUUCGGAGACAAUUCACUUGAAC